rnacentral:rRNA from 1 species
AAACCAGCACCUCAAGUGGUCAGGAUGAUGAUUGGGCCUAAAGCAUCCGUAGCCUGCUCUGUAAGUUUUCGGUUAAAUCUGUACGCUCAACGUACAGGCUGUCGGGAAUACUGCAGAGCUAGGGAGUGGGAGAGGUAGACGGUACUCGGGAGGAAGUGGUAAAAUGCUUUGAUCUCUCGAUGACCACCUGUGGCGAAGGCGGUCUACCAGAACACGUCCGACGGUGAGGGAUGAAAGCUGGGGGAGCAAACCGGAUUAGAAACCCCAGUAGUCC